rnacentral:rRNA from 1 species
AUGGGGUCGUCGCCGGACCAGAUGCAGUUCUUCUCCGUCCUGCUCAAGCUGAUGGGCGCCAGGAGCACGAUCGAGGUCGGCGUCUUCACCGGCUACUCGCUGCUCUCCACCGCGCUCGCCCUCCCCGCCGGCGGCAAGGUGGUGGCGAUCGACGUGAGCCGGGAGUGCUACGAGCUGGGCCGCCCGGUGAUCGAGGCGGCCGGCGUCGCGCACAAGGUGGACUUCCGCGAGGGCGACGGGCUCGCCGUGCUCGACGGGAUGCUGUGCGAGGACGGCGGCGCCAGGGCUGGCGCCUUCGACUUCGCGUACGCGGACGCCGACAAGCUGCAGUACGCCGGGUACCACGAGCGGCUGCUGCGGCUGGUGCGCGUCGGCGGCGUCAUCGCCUACGACAACACGCUCUGGGGCGGCUCCGUGGUCAUGCCCCGCGACAUGCCCGGCAGCUCCGACUACGACCGCCUCGUGCGGGAUAGCUUCCUCCGGUUCAACGCCGCCGUAGCCGCCGAUGACCGCGUCGAGGCCUGCAUCCUCCCCAUCGCCGACGGCGUCACGCUCUGCCGCCGCGUCAAGUGA